UGGAUAAAAGUGCAUUCGGG
rnacentral:siRNA from 1 species